UACGGAGGGGGCUAGCGUUGGUCGGAAUUACUGGGCGUAAAGCGCACGUAGGCGGCUUUGUAAGUUAGAGGUGAAAGCCCAGGGCUUAACCCUGGAAUUGCCUUUAAGACUGCAUCGCUAGAAUUGUGGAGAGGUAAGUGGAAUUCCGAGUGUAGAGGUGAAAUUCGUAGAUAUUCGGAAGAACACCAGUGGCGAAGGCGACUUACUGGACACAUAUUGACGCUGAGGUGCGAAAGCGUGGGGAGCAAACAGG
rnacentral:rRNA from 1 species